GCUCAGAACGAACGCUGGCGGCGUGGAUAAGACAUGCAAGUCGAACGGGGUUAUUUUGUUAGUUUACUAAUAAAAUAACCUAGUGGCGCACGGGUGCGUAACACGUGAGAAUCAACCUAAAAGUGGGGGAUAGCUCGCCGAAAGGCGAAUUAAUACCGCAUGUGGAGGUAACUUUAAAGCUGGGGCUCCUUCGGGACCUGGCGCUUUUAGACGAGCUCGCGGCCUAUCAGCUUGUUGGUGAGGUAAUGGCUCACCAAGGCUCUGACGGGUAGCUGGUCUGAGAGGACGAUCAGCCACACUGGAACUGAGACACGGUCCAGACACCUACGGGUGGCAGCAGUCGAGAAUCAUUCGCAAUGGGGGAAACCCUGACGGUGCGACGCCGCGUGGAGGACGAAGGCUCUAGGGUCGUAAACUCCUGUCACCACAGAACAAGAUUAGCGGAUUAAUACCCCGCUGAUUUGAUGGUAUGUGGAGAGGAAGCCACGGCUAACUCUGUGCCAGCAGCCGCGGUAAUACAGAGGUGGCAAGCGUUGUUCGGAUUUACUGGGCGUAAAGCGUGCGUAGGGGGCUGGCAAAGUCUGAUGUGAAAUCUCACCGCUUACCGGUGAAACUGCAUUGGAUACUGGUCGGCUCGAGGAUCGGAGGGGAGAGCGGAAUUCCAGGUGUAGCGGUGAAGUGCGUAGAUAUCUGGAGGAACACCGGCGGCGAAGGCGGCUCUCUGGCAGAUUCCUGACCCUGAGGCACGAAGGCCAGGGGAGCGAACGGGAUUAGAUACCCCGGGUAGUCCUGGCAG
rnacentral:rRNA from 1 species